rnacentral:rRNA from 1 species
UACGUAGGGGGGCAAGCGUUGUCCGGAAUCAUUGGGCGUAAAGAGCGUGUAGGCGGCCCGGUAAGUCCGCUGUGAAAGUCGGGGGCUCAACCCUCGAAUGCCGGUGGAUACUGUCGGACUAGAGUACGGAAGAGGCGAGUGGAAUUCCUGGUGUAGCGGUGAAAUGCGCAGAUAUCAGGAGGAACACCAAUUGCGAAGGCAGCUCGCUGGGACGUUACUGACGCUGAGACGCGAAAGCGUGGGGAGCAAACAGG